rnacentral:tRNA from 1 species
GGUGGCUUAGUAGUAGAGCGCUUGCCUAGCAUGCAUGAAGCCCUGGGUUCGAUUCCUCAGCACCA